rnacentral:rRNA from 1 species
CUUACACAUGCAAGUCGAGGGGCAGCAUACAGUUUGCUUGCAAACUGUGAUGGCGACCGGCGAAUGGGUGAGUAACGCGUAUCCAACCUACCAUUGGCUCAGGGAUAAUCGGUGGAAACGCCGUCUAAUACCUGAUGGUCUCCUUAGCGGACAUCCAAUAAGGAGUAAAGAUUCAUCGGCGAAUGAUGGGGAUGCGUCUGAUUAGCUUGUUGGCGGGGUAACGGCCCACCAAGGCAACGAUCAGUAGGGGUUCUGAGAGGAAGGUCCCCCACAUUGGUACUGAGACACGGACCAAACUCCUACGGGAGGCAGCAGUGAGGAAUAUUGGUCAAUGGGCGCAAGCCUGAACCAGCCAAGUAGCGUGCAGGACGACGGCCCUAUGGGUUGUAAACUGCUUUUAUAUGGGGAUAAAAGGCAUCACGUGUGAUGUUUUGCAGGUACCAUAUGAAUAAGGACCGGCUAAUCCCGUGCCAGCAGCCGCGGUAAUACGGAAGGUCCAGGCGUUAUCCGGAUUUAUUGGGUUUAAAGGGAGCGUAGGCCGGAUGUCAAGCGUGCCGUGAAAUGCCGUGGCUCAACCAUGGCACUGCGGCGCGAACUGGCGUUCUUGAGUGUGCGCAACGCAGGCGGAACUCGUGGUGUAGCGGUGAAAUGCUUAGAUAUCACGAUGAACCCCGAUUGCGAAGGCAGCUUGCGGGAGCACAACUGACGCUGAAGCUCGAAAGCGCGGGUAUCGAACAGGAUUAGAUACCCUGGUAGUCCGCGCGGUAAACGAUGGAUGCCCGCUGUGUGCACUUAGUGUACGCGGCCAAGCGAAAGCGUUAAGCAUCCCACCUGGGGAGUACGCCGGCAACGGUGAAACUCAAAGGAAUUGACGGGGGCCCGCACAAGCGGAGGAACAUGUGGUUUAAUUCGAUGAUACGCGAGGAACCUUACCCGGGCUUGAACUGCAGGAGAACGAUUCAGAGAUGAAGAGGUCCUUCGGGACUCCUGUGGAGGUGCUGCAUGGUUGUCGUCAGCUCGUGCCGUGAGGUGUCGGCUUAAGUGCCAUAACGAGCGCAACCCCUUUUCUUAGUUGCCAUCAGGUAAUGCUGGGCACUCUGAGGAUACUGCCACCGUAAGGUGUGAGGAAGGUGGGGAUGACGUCAAAUCAGCACGGCCCUUACGUCCGGGGCCACACACGUGUUACAAUGGGGGGUACAGAGAGUCGCUCGUAUGCAAAUACGUUCAAAUCCUUAAAUCCCCUCUCAGUUCGGACUGGGGUCUGCAACCCGACCCCACGAAGCUGGAUUCGCUAGUAAUCGCGCAUCAGCCAUGGCGCGGUGAUACGUUCCCGGGCAUUUACAACACCGCCCGUCA